rnacentral:rRNA from 1 species
AUACGGAGGGUCCAAGCGUUAUCCGGAAUCAUUGGGUUUAAAGGGUUCGCAGGCGGUUCAUUAAGUCAGUGGUGAAAUCUCUCGGCUCAACCGAGAAACUGCCGUUGAUACUGAUGGACUUGAAUAUAGUUGGAGUAGGCGGAAUGUGUAGUGUAGCGGUGAAAUGCUUAGAUAUUACACAGAACACCGAUAGCGAAGGCAGCUUACUAAACUAUUAUUGACGCUCAUGAACGAAAGCGUGGGGAGCGAACAGGAUUAGAAACCCUAGUAGUCC